GACGAACGCUGGCGGCGUGCUUAACACAUGCAAGUCGAGCGGUAAGGCCCUUUCGGGGGUACGACGAGCGGCGAACGGGUGAGUAACACGUGGGUGACCUGCCCUCAGCUCUGGGAUAAGCCUGGGAAACCGGGUCUAAUACUGGAUAUGACUCCAUGACGCAUGUUGUGGGGUGGAAAGCCUUGUGCGGCUGAGGAUGGGCCCGCGGCCUAUCGGCUUGUUGGUGGGGUGAUGGCCUACCAAGGCGACGACGGGUAGCCGGCCUGAGAGGGCGACCGGCCACACUGGGACUGAGACACGGCCCAGACUCCUACGGGAGGCAGCAGUGGGGAAUCUUGCGCAAUGGGCGAAAGCCUGACGCAGCGACGCCGCGUGAGGGAUGACGGCCUGG
rnacentral:rRNA from 1 species